rnacentral:rRNA from 1 species
AACGAACGCUGGCGGCAGGCUUAACACAUGCAAGUCGAGCGGAGAUGAGGUGCUUGCACCUUAUCUUAGCGGCGGACGGGUGAGUAAUGCUUAGGAAUCUGCCUAUUAGUGGGGGACAACAUUCCGAAAGGAAUGCUAAUACCGCAUACGUCCUACGGGAGAAAGCAGGGGAUCUUCGGACCUUGCGCUAAUAGAUGAGCCUAAGUCGGAUUAGCUAGUUGCGGGGAUAAAGGCAUACUAAGGCGACGAUCUGUAGCGGGUCUGAGAGGAUGAUCCGCCCCACUGGGACUGAGACACGGCCCAGACUCCUAUCGGAGGCAGCAGUGGGGAAUAUUGGACAAUGGGGGGAACCCUGAUCCAGCCAUGCCGCGUGUGUGAAGAAGGCCUUAUGGUUGUAAAGCACUUUAAGCGAGGAGGAGGCUACUGAGACUAAUACUCUUGGAUAGUGGACGUUACUCGCAGAAUAAGCACCGGCUAACUCUGUGCCAGCCGCCGCGGUAAUAC